rnacentral:rRNA from 1 species
UACGUAGGGUGCGAGCGUUGUCCGGAAUUAUUGGGCGUAAAGGGCUCGUAGGCGGUUUGUCGCGUCGGGAGUGAAAACCUCGGGCUUAACUCGGGGCUUGCUUUCGAUACGGGCAGACUAGAGGUAUGCAGGGGAGAACGGAAUUCCUGGUGUAGCGGUGAAAUGCGCAGAUAUCAGGAGGAACACCGGUGGCGAAGGCGGGUCUCUGGGCCGGUACUGACGCUGAGGAGCGAAAGCGUGGGGAGCAAACAGG